AUUGAACGCUGGCGGCAGGCCUAACACAUGCAAGUCGAACGGCAGCGGGGAGUAGCUUGCUACUCUGCCGGCGAGUGGCGAACGGGUGAGUAAUGCCUGGGGAGCUGCCCAAUCGAGGGGGAUACCAGUUGGAAACGACUGCUAAUACCGCAUACGCCCUGAGGGGGAAAGGUGGGGAUCUUCGGACCUAUCGCGAUUGGAUGCACCCAGGUGGGAUUAGCUAGUUGGUGAGGUAACGGCUCACCAAGGCGACGAUCUCUAGCUGGUCUGAGAGGAUGACCAGCCACACUGGAACUGAGACACGGUACAGACUCCUACGGGAGGCAGCAGUGGGGAAUAUUGCACAAUGGGGGAAACCCUGAUGCAGCCAUGCCGCGUGUGUGAAGAAGGCCUUCGGGUUGUAAAGCACUUUCAGUCAGGAGGAAAGGUGGCUAGCUAAUAUCUAGUUGCUGUGACGUUACUGACAGAAGAAGCACCGGCUAACUCCGUGCCAGCCGCCGCAGUAAAAC
rnacentral:rRNA from 1 species